GACGAACGCUGGCGGCGUGCCUAAUACAUGCAAGUCGAGCGAACUUGCGGGAGCUUGCUCCCAAAAGUUAGCGGCGGACGGGUGAGUAACACGUGGGCAACCUGCCUAUAAGACUGGGAUAACUUCGGGAAACCGGAGCUAAUACCGGAUAAUUCUUUUCUACACAUGUAGAAAAGCUGAAAGACGGUUUACGCUGUCACUUAUAGAUGGGCCCGCGGCGCAUUAGCUAGUUGGUGAGGUAACGGCUCACCAAGGCCACGAUGCGUAGCCGACCUGAGAGGGUGAUCGGCCACACUGGGACUGAGAAACGGCACAGACUCCUACGGGAGGCAGCAGUCGGGAAUCUUCCGCAAUGGACGAAAGUCUGACGGAGCAACGCCGCGUGAGUGAUGAAGGUUUUCGGAUCGUAAAACUCUGUUGUUAGGGAAGAACAAGUACGAGAGUAACUGCUCGUACCUUGACGGUACCUAACCAGAAAGCCACGGCUAACUACGUGCCAGCCGCCGCCGUAA
rnacentral:rRNA from 1 species